ACCGAUGGCUCCUCCACCUCAAAAGCGCUUGACCAUCUAUAUGUUGGAGUCUGCCGAUUUUGAAAUGCAGAUCCAGAUGGCUCAUGAGUAUCACACACACUUACCAACACAAACACAAAAUAAUGGCUAAUGUACACUCUCUCUCUCUCUCUCUCUCUCUCUCUCUCUGCGCAGAUGAUCACCUGUUACCUCUGGUAGAGAAAAUUCACCCAAAUAAUGCAGAUAAAAUUUCAUGGUUGCUGGUGCAGAGUGAAAACAACUUUAAUAUCAUUAACAUGAUUGCAGAUCCUGAUGUUCUGCAUACCAAAGUGGAUAAAAUGGAUAUGUUCCUAAAGGCAGGAGAAGCAGGAGUCAAGCCAGAAACUUUAAAGGUGCUCUUUGGUACAAAGAAAAAGAGAAAUAAGAAGAAGAAAAUAAAUAAUUAUUA